rnacentral:lncRNA from 8 species
AUGAUGGCAUUGCUGGCUGGUCUUGUAGUUGGGCUAUGGUACCGCUACUAUGACGUUGCAGAAUGUGGGCCCACUUACUGCAGCACUGGAGUCCUCAAGACUUGGAGGAACCCGGAGGUAGUGCAGUGGUGCAUCUUGGAGGAACCCGGAGGUAGUGCAGUGGUGCAUCUUGGAGGAGGCUGGCGCUCAGGGCUUGAGUCAGGGAGGUGGUCGGUAGAGCCUUGGACAGCCUAUGCCAGUGCAGUGCACACUGCGCCAGGACUCUCUGACCUGGGGAGUUGAAUAGUUGAUGCAGGUCCCCUGACUGGGAAGUGAUGCCUCUGUUGUAGUCAUGUAGGAUGGUUCCAUCACUGCUGGUGGAACAUGGUGCUGUGGACUGAAGCUCAACACGUAGUCCUCCAGAGGUGUCGGGCCCUGCUGGGACGGGAACACUGUGUGUUGUUGUUGUCCAUCAUAAUAACUGGAGUAUGCAGCUGAUGUACUAAUUCAGCUACUCGAAGGACCACUUGUAAAGGAGUGUACAUUUAUUACAUUUUGCUAGUCAUACAAAAUCUGGCCUCAUUCUUCGGGAAGAAAGAUGUCAGCAACUGCAGUUCCAGUUAUGAUGUUUACUGACAAUUACAGUAUAUUCAGUGGGGGUUCUAAAUGUGUGUGUGUGUGUGUGGUUUUCUGAAAUUACAUAAUAAAGAGGAAUGAUUAGUAAUUGAAAUACAAUAUCUGGAUAUAGCAGUUAACAAUAUUACAAUGAAGUAACAUAAUAAACUGUAAUACAAUGAACAGGCCAAAUGGCUACAAAGGCCUCCUUUGGUUCCAUUGUCACACUGACACAAAAAGUCACACACACAUACACACACACAACCAACCAGUAGCUGGUAGCACAGUUCUCCCACGUAGCUCACAGGUAGGGCAUCCAGCCGGUUGGACAGCAGAAUCCUCCUUCGUGAGUGUGCCGCCAUGCAGCCAAUUUUCUUACUUUUUAACUUUGCAUUGUUGGGAAAGUAAGCAUUUUAAGGUGAAGUCUACACCUGUUGUAUUUGGCACGUGACAAAUACAAUUCAAUUUGGUUUGAAAUACUGUAUAUGCAACAUAAAUACAUUCAGAGUAUAUAGCCUCUCUGAUCAGGCUUCAUAAGCCUUGUUCACACUGGCAGUUUGAAGUGAUAUCCAAUCAUUUUUUCCUGCAGUCUGAAGAGCCAGAGAGCACAUGGAAUCGAAUAUCUUCAAGUCAGAUUCAAACCAUAUUCAAAGGUGGUCAUGUGACUUGUGUCUCAAUGGUCAAAUCAGAUUUAUUUGGCCUCAAGUGUUUUUUAGACUGUUAUCUGGCAUAUCUUGUCGUUGCUAGCUACUCACUCAACAAUUUACAGUACAAUAUUUACACGUGUCGGGGGAAGGGGGAUUUGGAGCGCAAAGUGUUUUAAAUUGUGCAGUAUAAAUCAAUAAUAAAUAAAAGUCUAGUAGCAGCAGUCGAUGUGUGUAUAGCAUGAAUUUGCUGUAUAUGUCUGUGUGCGUGUGUGUGAGUGCAUGUGUGCUAAGGUGCAGAGAGUCAGUGCAGAUGGUGAGUCCUGUUAAACUGUUCAGUAUUCUGAUGGCUUGUGGGUAGAAACUGUCUCUGAGCCUGGUGGUCCAAGACCCAAUGCUCGAAUACUGUCUGCCUGACGGCAAGGGAGUGAAUAGUUUGUGGCUGGGGUAUGUAGGGUCCUUGAUGAUGUUGCGGGUCUUCCUCAGGCACCGCUUUGAGUAGAUGUUCUGUAUGGGUGGGGGCAUGGCCCCGGUGAUGGACUGGGCCAUCUUUAUGGGCCUUGCGGUCAUGCUAAAUUAAAUACUCUAUGACAGUGGUUCUCAAAACCUCUCCUCGGGGACCCCCAGACGUUUCACAAUUUUGUUACAGCCC